rnacentral:rRNA from 1 species
GGUUCAUUCAAAUUUCUGCCCUAUCAACUUUCGAUGGCUGGGUCUUGGCCAGCCAUGGUAGCAACGGGUAACGGAGGGUUAGGGCUCGACCCCGGAGAAGGAGCCUGAGAAACGGCUACUACAUCCAAGGAAGGCAGCAGGCGCGCAAAUUACCCAAUCCCGACCGGGGAGGUAGUGACAAUAAAUACUGAUACAGGGCUCUUUUGGGUCUUGUAAUUGGGAUGAGUACAAUUUAAAUCCCUUAACGAGGAACAAUUGGAGGGCAAGUCUGGUGCCAGCAGCCGCGGUAAUUCCAGCUCCAAUAGCGUAUAUUAAAGUUGUUGAGGUUAAAAAGCUCGUAGUUG